GCCGUCGUAGCGCAAUGGUAGCGCGUCGCUUUCCUAUACUUUCUGUCCUCACCGGAGGCGAAGGUUGCGAGUUCGAUCCUCGUCGUCGGUA